rnacentral:rRNA from 1 species
GGCUCAGAACGAACGCUGGCGGCAGGCCUAACACAUGCAAGUCGAGCGCCCCGCAAGGGGAGCGGCGGACGGGUGAGUAACGCGUGGGAACGUACCCUUUGCUACGGAAUAGCCUCGGGAAACUGGGAGUAAUACCGUAUGUGCCCUUCGGGGAAAGAUUUAUCGGCAAAGGAUCGGCCCGCGUUGGAUUAGGUAGUUGGUGGGGUAAUGGCCUACCAAGCCGACGAUCCAUAGCUGGUUUGAGAGGAUGAUCAGCCACACUGGGACUGAGACACGGCCCAGACUCCUACGGGAGGCAGCAGUGGGGAAUCUUAGACAAUGGGCGCAAGCCUGAUCUAGCCAUGCCGCGUGAGCGAUGAAGGCCUUAGGGUUGUAAAGCUCUUUCAGUGGGGAAGAUAAUGACUGUACCCACAGAAGAAGCCCCGGCUAACUCCGUG